rnacentral:ncRNA from 1 species
CAUCGCGAGAUGGAAUCUGAAGGAAGCCCGAGGCAAACCGCUGAUCCGAUGGACAAGAACCACAUCAGGCAUACGAAGAUGGGUAAGGUUGCAAACCAAACUGAAGCCCUAAGCCACACGGAAUCUGAGGUGUAAAUGUGGCGGAUACAUGGCGGGAAAGAAC